UCCUUUGCAAAUAAGUGUCUUCCAGGAACUGUCUGGCCAUUCCACUCCGGGAGCUGUCUCGCUAGUGAAAAUGUCUGCCGGCCAGAGGUUCGCCUUUGUAAUAUGCAUUCUAGAAAUAAGUCUCCUGAGAGCGGGGCCCAGUCCCAGUUAUGAGCCGACAGAAAGACACGGCACACCAUUGCCUAUAGACUGCAGGAUGAGCUCCUGGAGUGCGUGGUCGAAAUGUGACCCCUGCCUCAAGCAAAUGUUUCGUUCGAGGAGCAUUGAGAACUUUGGACAAUUUAAUGGGCGAAAGUGUGUGGACGCCUUGGGAGACCGACGGCAGUGUGUGCCCACAGAGGCCUGCGAAGACCCCGAGGAUGACUGUGGCAAUGACUUUCAGUGUGGUACAGGCAGAUGCAUAAAGAAUAGACUUCUGUGUAAUGACGACAAUGACUGCGGAGACUAUUCAGAUGAGGAUAACUGUGAACGUGAUCCUCGCCCCCCUUGCCGCAACAGAGUGGUGGAAGAGUCAGAGCUGGCACGGACAGCAGGAUAUGGGAUCAACAUCUUAGGCAUGGACCCACUCAGCACCCCUUUUGACAACCAGUACUACAAUGGACUCUGUGACCGGGUUUGGGAUGGCAACACCUUGACGCACUACCGCAGGCCCUGGAACGUGGCUUCGCUGACCUAUGACACCAAAGCUGACAAGAACUUCAGAACUGAAAAUCAUGAAGAAAAGAUACAGGUACUCAGAACUAUUAUCGAAGAGAAGAAAUUAAAUUUUAAUGCAGAUUUAAGUAUAAAAUAUACACCUGUUGAAGCAAUUGAAAAGCAUAAAUGUACAGAGUGUGGACAUUCUAACAAAGAAAUCAUCUCAAGUCCUUCCAACAAGGGUGCUGAGGCUACAUUUCGAUUUACAUAUUCCAAAGAUGAAAUUUACAGACUGUUGUCAUCAUUUUCUUCUAAGCAGGAAAAAAUGUAUCUGCACAUAAAAGGAAAAGUUCACCUGGGAAGAUUUGUGAUGAGAAGUCGAGAUGUCAUGCUGCAAACAACUUUCUUGGAUUCUAUAAAUACUCUGCCAACUACUUAUGAAAAAGGGGAAUAUUUUGCAUUUUUGGAAACCUAUGGAACCCACUACAGUAGCUCUGGGUCUCUUGGAGGAUUAUAUGAACUAGUAUAUGUUUUGGAUAAAAAGUCCAUGGAGCAGAAAGGUAUUGAACUGAGGGAUGUACAGAGAUGCCUCGGGUUUAAUUUGGAUCUGUCUCUGAGGGUUGGAGUUGAAGUUACAGGAAAUAUUAGUUCAAAGCUUUGCUCAAAGAAGGGUAUGGGUGAAAUGGAAACGAACCCAGAGGCUGACUUCUUCGAUGAUGUUAUUACAUUCAUAAGAGGAGGAACCAGAAAAUAUGCAACUGAGCUGAAAGAGAAACUUCUCAAAGGAGCCAGAAUGAUUGAUGUGACUGACUUUGUAAACUGGGCCUCUUCCUUAAAUGAUGCUCCGGUGCUCAUAAGCCAAAAACUGACUCCGAUAUAUGAGCUGAUUCCAGUGAAAAUGAAAGACGCACACCUCAAGAAACAAAAUUUGGAAAGAGCCAUUGAAGACUACGUCAAUGAAUUCAGUUUAAGGAAAUGCCAACCGUGCCAAAAUGCAGGGACUGUGGUUCUGCUGGACGGAGAAUGCGUGUGUUCCUGCCCAAAAGAGUUCAAGGGAGUGGCCUGUGAAAUAAAAAAAUAGAAAAUUUCUAAAGCACCUGGACAGUAUCUGGUGUAUCAUGGUUCAACAGGAUAAAAGGCAUUGGAGUCAAAAAAAGAAAAUAGAGUUGUUGGUUUCCCUGGGAUCAUAUGGAAAGAAAAACACCAGCACCUUCCAGAGAUAGUUCUUGCUGCCAAAUGAAAAGCAACAUGCUUCAUGAAAAGCCUACCAACCUCUGAAGUCUCUCUCUUAAAUCCACAAUGCUUCUUUUUCUCCUUCACUUCCCAUGAUGUUUCCAUUUGUUAUUCCCUAAUGAGGAGAGUCAGCAGUGAGGUAUGCCAGGACUUCUUUCUCACACAGCUAAUGCCAAUCUCUGGCUAGCAAAACAAAAUUGAAUUAAAAAGAGAGUGUUGGUUAAAAAGACUUUAAAGUAAUUGUCACAGUUCUUCAUAUGAUGAAUACGUUCUGCCAGUUCCAUUACCACGGGUCUGUACCACGCAAUUAUGCUCUUGUUUACAUUCCUGUGUCUUGUUCAGUCAUUCGUGAAUAUGCGCACGCAUUCAUUCUGCAAAUAAUUUGCCGAACACCUACCACAAGCACAGAUCUCUGCUUUUUAAGUCUUAGCUUUGUGAUUUAACUCUACACCUCCAGAGGGAAAAAUGUAUUUGUAACCAAAAACCAUUAAGCUAAAUCAUGUGAAAUUGUC